rnacentral:rRNA from 1 species
CAGCAGCCGCGGUAAUACGUAGGUGGCAAGCGUUGUCCGGAAUUAUUGGGCGUAAAGGGCUCGCAGGCGGUUUCUUAAGUCUGAUGUGAAAGCCCCCGGCUCAACCGGGGAGGGUCAUUGGAAACUGGGAAACUUGAGUGCAGAAGAGGAGAGUGGAAUUCCACGUGUAGCGGUGAAAUGCGUAGAGAUGUGGAGGAACACCAGUGGCGAAGGCGACUCUCUGGUCUGUAACUGACGCUGAGGAGCGAAAGCGUGGGGAGCGGACAGGAUUAGAGACCCGCGUAGUCCCUGUCUCUUAUAC